CGAAACUCAUCGGGGAGCAAAGUGCUGAGCACUGGCUGAGAUCGACUUUUGUCGGGACCCGUGACCUGAACCAGAUAAUGCUGGCGUAGGAAUUGAGUCAGGAUAAUUG
rnacentral:ncRNA from 1 species